ensembl:lncRNA
CGGGGACCGCCCUCCCAAGGUCACCGGGGAAGCGACCUUCACCCUGAACCUCCGCCUCCUGGGCAGUCUGAGUGUGGCUGGCGGGGUGUGAGUCUCUGCCCGGCCCGGAGCCACCUCCCCAAGCCGGCCGCAAUGGGGCUCCCUCCAGCUCCCCGGGGGUGCGCCAGCGUUCUGCUUUGCCGUGACCCGCUCGCUGUUGCUGACUUGCCUGGUGCCCGUGGGGCUGCUGGCCCUGCGCUACUACUACAGCCGCAGGGUGAUCCUGGCUUACCUGGACUGCGCCUGCACACCGACAUGGCCGACAUUGAGCAGUACUACAUGAAGCCCCCGCUCCUCCUUUUGGGUGGCUGUGCUGGACGGUAACGCGGUGGGCAUUGUGGCUGCACGCCCACGAGGAGGACAACACGGGAGCUGCUACGCAUGUCUGUGGACUCCCGCUUCAUGGCAAGGGGCAUCGCCAAGGCGCUGGGCCGGAAGGUGCUGGAGUUUGCGGUUGUGCACAACUACUCUGCGGUGGUGUUGGGGACCACAGCUGUCAAGGUGGCUGCCCACAAGCUCUAUGAGUCACUGGGCUUCAGACAUAUGGGCGCAAGUGACCAUUACGUGCUACCUGGCAUGACCCUCUCGCUGGCCGAGCGCCUCUUCUUCCAGGUCCGCUACCACCGCUUAUCGCCUGCAGCUUCGUGAGGAGUGAGGGUCACUGCCCGCCCACCGCCCCCAUCCGCCCCCUACACCUGUGCCCACCCACCUGCCCACCCACCCGCCUGCCGCCUGGUGCGGCCCUGCUUCCAGACGCUCACCUUGGCGCUUGUGUUGGGCUUUCUCCUUCAACAUCACGUGGUUAUCUGGCUGUUCCUGGGUGUGUGGGGCUGUUGCUCAUCUGAGACAGGGCAGUGGGUGGGGUCUGCAGCCAUGGCCUCCCCCCCAGCCUUGGGAAGCGGAGUUGUGGACCCUCAGACUACCCACCAAGCUGCCACCUGCCUCUGUCCGGAAGGCCUCAUCUCAUUAAGCACAGAAGCUCUGCCCAAAUCCUCCAGGAGCAGACUCCAGCCCCCUGGCCAGGCUGUGGCCCCGGCCAUUGUCCCUGAAAUGUGGCCCAGGCUGGCUGGCCGCUGCCCUUAGGGAGGCUGAGGUGGCUUCAGGCCCCAUGCUGCUCUGUGCAUGCUGAGGACGUGGCUGUCUGCCGCAUGCCGCAUGCCACAGCCCCCUGCCCUGCUGCCCUUCCCAGACCGGACCCAGGACCCAGGCCUGUGUGCACUCCAGGGGGCUGGCCUGGGCCCGCCCACCCUGCACCCACUCCUGCUUUGCUUUGAUACCAUGUCACCUCUCUCCUGGUCCCUGCAUCCUGUGCCUGGGCUUGGCUGACUUGGUGCAGCACCCAGGUGUGGUUCCUGUAGUGACCUGUCUUACAUCAUGGCGGGGGCCCAGGGGGACACCUGUUCCCCAGUGCCUACUAGAUCAGGCGACCCCUCCCAGCUACCUGUGGCCCCCUGCCUCAGCUGUCUGCCGGGGUCCACCCUGUGAAUCUUACUAGCCCAGGCUGCUGCCGGUGAUGCCCAGCCACAGCUUCUCCCAGCCUGAAACUGACCCGUUUUCUAAUAAGUUACUUAGACAGAAUAGCACUCUGCAUGACUUUAAUUCUUGGGACAAAAUGGUAGUUUGUACCUUCAGACACACACGUCCGUGUGGUGCUAGCAUAUGCACUGUUUCUGGCCCCGUUUGAUGGGGGUGGGUGGAGGGCUUCAUAGUGAGAUCUGGGGAGACCCUGACCUAGUGUAAUCCCUCUGCAAAAACAUUCCUGGCUUGUGAGGAAGCUGCAGGCUGCCCCUUCCAGCCCUGGUCUGCAGGACUGAGGGGACAGGGCCCAUCCCAUAGUCCUGGAGGGGAGUUGGGCACUGCCAAGGGAAGGUGAGCAGGACCUGCUAUCUCGCCGUGGCCAGCUCAGCUGACUUGAGGGUGGCUGGGCAGGGAGAGGGAUGGUAGGGCUGGAAGUGACCACUGGUCAACUGAGCCUGUGCCUAGUCUUAUAUGGGAGGGCCACCCAGACCCCUUGUGUGGAGCUUGAGGGACUGGGGGAAUGGCAGGCAGGGUGGCCACAGAGCUGGGACCCUGACACCGAGAAUAUGCUCUUAGGCUCUUCAGGAGGGAAUGGAUUGGCAGCCCAGCCCUCACUCCAGGGGCCUUUUUGUUCUGUUAGCAGUUGAGGCACUUGCAGAGCACUGUACAGACCCCGCUAUCCCCCUGUACAUUCCUCCCUGGUGGCGCCCGGUCCCCUUUGGGGGUGGGAGUUUUGUAGACUGUACAGAAAUUGGCACCCUAUUUUCUUGCAGCUCUCAGAUUUUGUUAAUCUGGAUUAUACAGACAGACGUAAAGUGUUUUAGCAAAAUGGAAAACAAACAGUUGUGCCUUCUUUUUCUGUUUGGUUUGGUGUUGGCUUGGGCUGGUCUUAGUUGCUGGGGGCCGUUGGGGCUGCUGGCCAGUCUUAGGCCCUGGGCCGGGGCAAGGCCGCUGUAAGUGGCAGUGUCUGGUUGGUGGGCAGCUCCAGCCAGCAAGGCUUCACUCCCUGUGCCUUCAGAGCCUGUAGUUGCUGGGGCUGGGCAAUGGGGUGGGGGCAGCUGGGCUCACAGAUCAGGCAGAGCCCGGUACCAGGGAGCCCUUAAGCUGACCUGGGGCUGGCUCUUGGCAGCCCCAUUGCUGGGCUCAGAGGCCUUCCUGGCCUAAGCUGCCUCUGCCCCAAGAGAUCUCUUGCCAGCCAUGCGGGCCAUGGGUCGAGGAGGGACACUUGCUGGGCUCUCAACUGUCUUUUGGCACCCUUCUGUCGCUGCUGGGAUUUGGCUAAGAUGCCAGGAGCAGGGUUGGCAGGGUGGGCUUCAGCCCUCGCCAGGCUGGCAGGCAGACCUCCUGUCCCUUGGAGCUACAGGCUGGGUGUGGCUGGUGCCCCUGCCCACCCCAGCCCUCCAUGUCCCCCAGCUUGAGCGCUUAAUUGCUCCGCAGUUGUGCACUGACACAAAUUUUAUACGUUUGUGGAAACUGCUGUGUCUUCUACCUCCAUGGAGGCCCUUCUGGGCUCACUGCCGGUGUUUGGUGUGGUUCCUCUGAGGUUUGCCAGCCCACUGCUCCCUCCCCUGGGUCUCUCACCGCUUUGUGGCCUGACAAAGUCUAGGGAGCCCAGCCUGGGGGCCCAGGGUUUCUGUUGUUUGUUUGCAGGCCUCUGUGGAGCGGGAGGGUGGAUGCUGGGGCAGUGUCCAGGCCAUCAGUGUUUGCUGAGCCUGGGGAACAGCUGCUAGGUGUCCCCUGGCAGCUCCCCUGUGGGUCCUGCAUCCAUGCAGACAGUCAGCCCCCUGGGGUGGGUGGCCAGGAGGUUGGCACACCUGUACUGAGGCCAUCUGUGGUUGGCCCGAGUGCAGGGAGGUUGAGCUCUUGUGUCCAUGGCAGCCUCUCCCAGUCCUACAUCUACUUCAGUGCCCAGUGGCUGAGAUGUGUGCAGAUGGUGGGGCUGAGGGAGUGGAUAGCAGCCCAGAGACCUUGAGGGCCCUGCGUGGCCCCUGGCCUGCUCUGGGUCCUUUCUCAGAGCGAUGGGCAUUCACAGGCCCUAGAGGGGGAGAAGAGCUUCCCGGCCUUUGCCAGGUCCCCUUGCCAGGGGUGCUCUGAGCCCGGGCCUGGCUUUGAGAGGCUUAUUGCCUGUGCCGCCUGUGCCACCUGCCCUUGCCUGUCCUGGGUGGCCUGAGCCCAUGCUCUCCCUGGAGCUGGCUUCGGGGCCUGCGUGUGUGGCCAGGGCUGUCUGGGCUUUGCUGGUAUGUGGGCUUCUUGGGCUGUAGGUGGCUCCCAGCCUGGCGGGAAUGUGUGGGCACCUGUGGGCCCAUCUCCCUGUCAGUGCCUGAGGGGCAGCCGGGGCUGCCCCUGCCUGUCGGUGGGUGUGUGCUGGUGUGUGUGCCGGGCCUGGCCUUGGGCUCAGGCUGUCAGGGUUGAGUUCAGGGCUGGCCCUGGAAUGAACUGCCCCAUGGUGCGGCGUCCAUGGGCAGCACAGCUUGCCAGAGCUGCCCGGGCUGGGGUGGAGGCUGAGCCCUGACUUACCAUCUUUGGAUGUAUUUUUUAAACAGCAAUAAUUAGCCAUUUUAAGGGAAGGGGUGUACCCACAUGUGUGCGUGCGUGGCUGUGUAGUGCAGCUGUGUGAGCGUCUGUGGAUGUGUGCCCGUGAGUAUGCGUGUGUCUGAGCAUCUGUGCACACUGCCUGCGUGUGGACACCUGCAUACGAGUGUGUGUGCACGUGUGUGUGUACAAGUGCUGCACGUGUGAGCCUGUGUGCCUGUGGGUGAGCACUGCGUGUGUGCCUGUAAACAGCUGUCCAUGUGGAUGGAGUGUGUGCGCACAUGUGAGUGUGUGCAGGUGUUGCGAUGGGGAGGGCGUGGGCAGGGCUUCCUGCUCUGGGAGGCGCUCUGUGGUGAGAAGCAGGGUCCCGGGCCCGGGCCGGGCCGGCUCUAUGUGUGUACCCCAGCCCUGCUGGGUGCCAGAUAGGUGGUCAGCCGCAGUCCACCUCCCUCUUGGCCGAGGCAGGGCAGAGGCAGGAGGCCCCAUGAACAGACCUGCCCUGCUUUGGUUGGGGCAGGGGCCACGUCUUGGUGGGUCUCACUGCCGUGGUGUGUUCCUAAGCUGUACUGUGAGCCCAGGACAGGGCGGGUGUCCUUUGGCCCCGGGAUGUGCCAAAGCAGCCCCGAGGGCCAGGUGACAAGCCGAGUCCCCAGGAGACAGGCUGGGCCCAAGUGGGUGUGUGCCAGCCUGCAUGGCCCCCAAUGCUGCUGUUUUUCAAUAAAAUCAGAGUUGAAG